UACGUAGGGGGCAAGCGUUAUUCGGAAUUAUUGGGCGUAAAGGGCGCGUAGGCGGCUUGGCAAGUGGAUGGUGAAAUCCCUCGGCUUAACCGAGGAACUGCCGUCCAAACUGCUUCGCUUGAGACCGGGAGAGGUGAGUGGAAUUCCCAGUGUAGCGGUGAAAUGCGUAGAUAUUGGGAGGAACACCAGUGGCGAAGGCGGGCUCACUGGACCGGUACUGGACGCUGAUGCGCGAAAGCGUGGGGAGCAAACGGGG
rnacentral:rRNA from 1 species